UGGGGAAUUGUUCGCAAUGGGCGCAAGCCUGACGACGCAACGCCGCGUGGAGGACGAAGAUCUUCGGGUCGUAAACUCCUUUCGAUCGGGAAGAAUGGCUUCCGGGUUAAUAGCCCGGAGGAAUGACGGUACCGAGAGAAGAAGCCCCGGCUAACUCUGUGCCAGCAGCCGCGGUAAUACAGGGGGGGCAAGCGUUGUUCGGAAUUACUGGGCGUAAAGGGCUCGUAGGCGGCCAACUAAGUCACACGUGAAAUCCCCAGGCUUAACCUGGGAACUGCGUGUGAUACUGGAUGGCUUGAAUUCGGGAGAGGGAUGCGGAAUUCCAGGUGUAGCGGUGAAAUGCGUAGAUAUCUGGAGGAACAUCGGUGGCGAAGGCGGCAUCCUGGACCGAUAUUGACGCUGAGGCGCGAAAGCCAGGGGAGCAAA
rnacentral:rRNA from 1 species